UACGGGGGGGGGGCAAGCGUUGUUCGGAAUUACUGGGCGUAAAGGGCGCGUAGGCGGCCUGCUAAGUCGAACGUGAAAUCCCUGGGCUCAACCCAGGAACUGCGUCCGAUACUGGUUGGCUUGAAUCCGGGAGAGGGAUGUGGAAUUCCAGGUGUAGCGGUGAAAUGCGCAGAUAUCAGGAGGAACACCGGUGGCGAAGGCGGGUCUCUGGGCAGUAACUGACGCUGAGGAGCGAAAGCGUGGGGAGCGAACAGG
rnacentral:rRNA from 1 species